UAUAAGCGUAUACCAAAGUUGUUGCAGUUAAAACGCUCGUAGUCGGAAUUUGGCAGUUCCGGAUGUGUGCACGUCGUGUGCGCACUUCGCGGGGAUUGCUUUUGUGGUCUUGCGUAGGAUGAGGCACUUUUAUUAGUGAACGUCCUCACGCAACCACUUUUUACUGUGAGAAAAUCAGAGUGCUCAAAGCAGGCAUUUGCCGUGAAUGUAUUAGCAUGGAAUAAUAGAAUAGGACUUGGUUCUAUUUUGUUGGUUUGUUGGGACUGAGUAAUGAUUAAGAGGGACAGUUGGGGGCAUUUGUAUUUCGGUGCUAGAGGUGAAAUUCUUAGAUUACCGAAAGACAAACUGCUGCGAAAGCGUCUGCCAAGGAUGUUUUCAUUGA
rnacentral:rRNA from 1 species